GUCUCGUCUCGUCUCGUGCCCUGCCUAAUCAAUGGUUAUUUUGGAGUAUGCCCUUUGAGUUCUUUUGGAUUACCUGUUUCUGUUGAAUCACUCUGUUCAUUUGGAUUUCCUAGUCUCUGCCACUCAUUCAAAGACACUCAAAGUUUUUACUGGAGAAAAAAAAAGGGUCUGAGCCAGCCACAGCUACCUGCAGCAGUGAAAAAGCCAACUCAAGUCAGCAGCCUUGAUACAGCAGUGAGGAAGUCAGCUCCUCCUACCCAACAUUGUUCUUCGUGAUUCUAAUGAUAUUACAAGAGGUGAUGUUGACGCCAUUGAUGAAGAGGCUCUUCAGGCUGUAAAAGCACAGGCUGCCACACCCAGACCACACAAUAUGUUUUGAUAUUUAGUCUUUCAGUCUACACAACAUUAUGAAUGCCUUCUAUGUAAUUAUCACAGAACAAGUUGUAAUGCUGACUGUUCAUUAACUUUCUAACUAAUCCUUUUGAAUGUAAUUUGAGUGUUGCAUUCUUGCUCAUAUGGCAUGCCUUACAAAACGAUGCAACAAUGCAUUGAUACAUUGUACCAGUUAGCCUCACAGUGAUGGACUGAUUUUGAUUGCUAUUUGCAGAUGUUUCACUAACACAGAGCAGCAGAUCCAAAACAGCCUCAUCUGAAAGUAUUUCCUCGGACACUGCAAGGUAACAGGAAGAGGUGCUUCCAGAGUGGCUGGUAUGAACAGUAUUCAUGUCUUGAAUACUCUCACAGCCAAGACUGCCUACUGUUAAAUUACCUCACAUCACUUUAAUAAUAAAUACUUAUUUGCAGGUAA